GGAUUAGAUACCCUGGUAGUCCACGCCGUAAACGAUGGAUGCUCGAUGUUGCACCGCUUUAGGUGCAGUGUCCAAGCUAACGCGUUAAGCAUCCCACCUGGGGAGUACGAUCGCAAGGUUGAAACUCAAAGGAAUUGACGGGGGCCCGCACAAGCGGUGGAGCAUGUGGAUUAAUUCGAUGCAACGCGAAGAACCUUACCCAGGCUCGAACGCAACCGGACAGGCCCCGAAAAGGGCUCUUCUUCGGACUGGUUGCGAGGUGCUGCAUGGCUGUCGUCAGCUCGUGCCG
rnacentral:rRNA from 1 species